GAUGCCAUCCAACCAUCUCAUCCUCUGCCGCCCCCUACUCCUCCAGUCCUCAAUCUUUCCCAGCAUCAGGGUCUUUUCCAACGAGUUGGCUCUUCGCGUCACGUGGCCAAAGUGUUGGAGCUUCACCGUCGGCAUCAGUCCCUCCAGCGAACACCCAGGACUGAUCUCCUUUAGGAUGGACUGGUUGACUCUCCUUGC